CACAUGCAAGUCGAACGAGACGAUUGAAAGCUUGCUUUUGAGAGUCGAGUGGCAAACGGGUGAGUAACGCGUAGACAACCUGCCGUAAAGAUGGGGACAACAGUCCGAAAGGACUGCUAAUACCGAAUGUUGUAUCUCCUCCGCAUGGAAGAGAUAUUAAAGAUGGCCUCUACUUGUAAGCUAUCGCUUUGCGAUGGGUCUGCGUCUGAUUAGCUAGUUGGUGGGGCAACGGCCUACCAAGGCGACGAUCAGUAGCCGGUCUGAGAGGAUGAACGGCCACAUUGGAACUGAGACACGGUCCAGACUCCUACGGGAGGCAGCAGUGGGGAAUCUUCCGCAAUGGGCGCAAGCCUGACGGAGCAACGCCGCGUGAGUGAAGAAGGUUUUCGGAUCGUAAAGCUCUGUUGAGAGGGACGAGAGGCAAAGCUAGGAAAUGAGCUUUGUAGGACGGUACCUUUCGAGGAAGCCACGGCUAACUACGUG
rnacentral:rRNA from 1 species